UUUUUAACGCUGGCUAUAGGCAAAAUUAAAGCGGGGCUACGGCCAGUGAGGACGGGCAGAACCUCUGGUCCUCCAUUCUGAGUGAAGUCUCAACACGGUCACGCUCUAAGCUACCGUUUGGCAAAAAUGUGCUGCUACUCGGUAAAUAAAGGAUAUUUCUGUUUA